GACGAACGCUGGCGGCGUGCCUAACACAUGCAAGUCGAGCGGGGUUGAGGCGAGAGGUAACUCGAACUUCUACCUAGCGGCGGACGGGUGAGUAACGCGUGGGCAACCUGCCUCAAGGUUUGGGAUAACAGCCCGAAAGGGCUGCUAAUACCGGAUAUGCCUAUGGCCUCGCAUGGGGCUAUGAGCAAAGGGGAAACCCGCCUUGAGAUGGGCCCGCGUCCCAUCAGCUAGUUGGUGAGGUAACAGCUCACCAAGGCGACGACGGGUAGCCGGCCUGAGAGGGUGACCGGCCACACUGGGACUGAGACACGGCCCAGACUCCUACGGGGGCAGCAGUGGGGGAUCUUGCACAAUGGGCGAAAGCCUGAUGCAGCGACGCCGCGUGAGCGAAGAAGGCCUUCGGUUGUAAAGCUCUGUCUGGAGGGACGAACGAAAUAGACGGUACCUCCGGAGGAAGCCGACGGCUAACUACGUGCCAGCAGCCGCGUAAACUGUAGUCGU
rnacentral:rRNA from 1 species